UUUAUUAGUAAAGAAAUUGUUUAGGAAGUAAAAGUUAUGAUCUCUAAAUUUAAAAAUUUUGGCGGUAUAUUAGUCUAUUUAGAGGAACCUGUUCUAUAAUCGAUAUUCCACGAUUAAUUAUACUUAAUUAAGAAAUUUAUAUAUCGUCGUUUUGAAAAAUUUUAUUAGAAUAAAAAUUUUUAAUAUUUUUAAUUAAAAAGGAAUUCAGAUCAAGGUUUAGUGAAUAGUUAAGAAGAAAUGGGUUACAAUAAAUUUAUUUAAAUGAAUUAUAUAAUGAAAAAAAUAUAUAAAAGUGGAUUUAAUAGUAAUAAAAUUAAAUUAAAUUUUAUGAUUUAAGCUCUAAUAUAUGU
rnacentral:rRNA from 1 species